rnacentral:rRNA from 1 species
UACGUAGGGUGCGAGCGUUUAAUCGGAAUUACUGGGCGUAAAGCGUGCGCAGGCGGUUUUGUAAGCCAGAUGUGAAAUCCCCGGGCUCACCUGGGAAUGGCAUUUGGGACUGCAAGGCUGGAGUGUGGCAGAGGAGACGUGGAAUUCCUGGUGUAGCAGUGAAAUGCGUAGAUAUCAGGAGGAAUACCGAUGGCGAAGGCAGGUCUCUGGGCUGACACUGACGCUGAUG